rnacentral:ncRNA from 2 species
UCGAUCUUCGCGGGAGAGACCGGCACAGCCGGAGCCGAAGGCGCAACCGCCCCGGAAACGCUCAGGCAAAAGGACCGCGAAGGCGAG